rnacentral:rRNA from 1 species
AUGGAGGCGCUUUCGGAGAUUCGUGCUGAGGAGACUCGCCUACGCGGUGCUGGUUUGCUGGAGGUUCCCUCGGUGCUCGCUACUCGGGUUUCUUCCACUCCACCUGCUGCACCGCCCCAUUCUCGCUCGAGUGCUCCGCCGCUCUUGCCCACUCCUUCUGGAGGCUCAGGUCGGCCCCGUUCACAUUGUGACUACUGCAACAAUGAUGGUCAUAUUGAGUCCCAGUGCUACACAAAGCGGAAACACCUGCGCAAGGCGCGAUCAUCCUCCUCAGGGACUUCGUCAUCUCCCUCGCCAGCAUCAGCCAUUGCUUUGACCGAGCAGGAUAUUCUGAGACUUAAGCGUCUGCUCGUGGCUUCAGGUUCUUCCUCGACGGGUGCUGCUGGUUCUGUGACUGAUGCUUCCCGCACUGAGCACCCGCCCUCUACACAGUCAGGAUCGUCGCACGCACACUCUGGUUGGGGCUGGCCCUCGCCGCCGUGA